rnacentral:rRNA from 1 species
GACGAACGCUGGCGGCGUGCCUAAUACAUGCAAGUAGAACGCUGAAGGAAGGAGCUUGCUCUUUCUGGAUGAGUUGCGAACGGGUGAGUAACGCGUAGGUAACCUGCCUGGUAGCGGGGGAUAACUAUUGGAAACGAUAGCUAAUACCGCAUAAAAUUGAUUAUUGCAUGAUAGUCAAUUAAAAGGUGCAACUGCACCACUACCAGAUGGACCUGCGUUGUAUUAGCUAGUUGGUGGGGUAACGGCUCACCAAGGCGACGAUACAUGGCCGACCUGAGAGGGUGAUCGGCCACACUGGGACUGAGACACGGCCCAGACUCCUACGGGAGGCAGCAGUAGGGAAUCUUCGGCAAUGGACGGAAGUCUGACCGAGCAUCGCCGCGUGAGUGAAGAAGGUUUUCGGAUCGUAAAGCUCUGUUGUAAGAGAAGAACGAGUGUGAGAGUGGAAAGUUCACACUGUGACGGUAUCUUACCAGAAAGGGACGGCUAACUACGUG